GCCUGGGUGGCUCAGUCAGUUGGGCAUCCGACUUUGGCUCAGGUCACGAUCUCGCCGUUUGUGGGUUCGAGCCCCGCUUCAGGCU
rnacentral:tRNA from 1 species